rnacentral:lncRNA from 1 species
GUGGACUACAAGCCCCUCAGGUUUAAAUGGUGGUACGUGUAGCCAGACUGGGCCUUUGCACUGGGCUGGGCCAUGGCCCUCUCCUCCAACCUCCUGGUGCCACUGUGAUCGAUUGGCAGGAUCUAUGUUGGCACAGGCCGCCUCAGGCAGUCUUCUGCCAUGAAUCAUUCAUCCAUAAACAGAUUUAGGAUACUACUGAGGAGAUUACCAUUGUGGGAGCCAGGAGGAGGAAAGCCAAGAGGACAAUUCAGACCCAGAGCUGAGGUGGCUCCAAAAAACCCAGCAACUCAAGGACAAGAAAAUGAGACGACAGAAGCUGUAUUCAAAUGUGAUCCGUGAGCAGAACAAGAAGAUAAGUAGGAUUACCUUUCUGCCGGACGCCAAGAACCCAUUGGGCAGUGACAACAAGGACAACAUGGUUCCCAGAAGGGAUUCUCUCUCUGAUUCUCUCUCUGUCUCUCUCUCUGUCUCUCUCUCUGAUUCUGUCUGUCUGUCUGUCUGUCUGUCUGUCUGUCUGUCUGUCUGUCUGUCUGUCUGUCUGUCUGUCUGUCUGUCUGUCU